UGGCAUUAUAGGCUGUUCUGACAAGACCAGUGCAGCAUACCAUUGUUUUCUUGCCAGGAUCCUUCCUCCAUGUUUCUAAUGAUGUAUUUAGAUAGUUUCCCUGCUCCAACAAGGGGUGGGGUGUUUUGUGAGAUUACAACCUAGAGAGUCCAACAUCUGAUUAAACUUCAUCUCGUCUGAAGUUACUGAGUCAGCAGCCAGCCAGCAAACACGUUAAUGAAUGAAUGGAUGUACAGUACACAUUGGCUGUACAUGCUAUAACUCAAACCUCUGUGAAAGACACAUUGAGCAACCAACCAGGCCAGAGGCAAAACGUUAACCAAAGGUACACUGUAACAUGCAAAAUAACUUAAUAUGUGGGAAUGAGCCAAUGAAUCACAACAAGCUCCUAAUGCUGCAUUAAAUGUGGCAUUUAAAAGUUGGUGUACAAUGAUUGCCUUAAUUCCAAAUUGAUAAUAAUACAUGUUAUCAUUAUGCACAAUAUGAGAACAAUAUUGCAAUCGAUAACAAUCCAACAACUGUCUUGAAUGUUUGCAAUGUUUUAGUAAACCGUUUGAGUUUGCAAUCUCCAUUGAAGAAUGUGCUUUUCAGCCAAAUUUGACUUGUGCUAAACUUGUUCAUGCUCACCCAAUCCUUACAUGUUCAGAUUUACAAAACCAUAUUCUAUGCACAGGACAGCUGGAGUUUAAACUUGAGUGGCAGAUCCUCGAUGUUUCACACGCUAAGUCUAUUGUACAAAUAUUAUUACAGCAAUAAUCCUUCCUCUUUCCACUCCCCUCUGUCUUUUCUCUCAUUUGUCUCGCUUGUGCAGGACAUGAACUUUGCUCAGGGACCUUUCUCAACACGGCGGCCACUCUCGAAUGGAAAACAGCAGAUUCAUCAUGACUUCCCUAAAUGUUCGCCCCGACACAAAGCAACAGGUGAGGGGGUAAUGGAUACAGGUUUGCACGCACACCUAAGGAGCAAUAGCUGGUUUAGCAUAUGCGCCUAUUUUGCCUGUUUGUUUAUUGUUUUGUUAUUAGCUAUGUGCUGAAAGAGCCGAGUCAUAGCUGGGACCUCACGAGGGUGGUCUUAAAAGGAUGGUGCUGUCAGUCAUCUGCUGACUAUCCAUUUUUGUCUAUAAACGCCGUUUUAUUUCCCUUCUGACACGCCAAACAUAAAUGCUGUUGUAAUAAAUACUGUGUUUGUCUGUUCCAGGUGGAUAGCUUCUGCCAAAAGCUCAAUAAAGAGGUACAUUUCUUCCAUAGUUUCUUUCACUUUCACUAUUAGGCCUAUCAUAUUUUAUUUAUUUAUGUGAGGUUGUUUUUCAAUCUAUUCUUGUCCCAUGUUUCUCUAUAGGGAGAAGACUUGGUGAAAACAUUUUUUCCACAGAAGAUUGAAGAGAUGCAGCUGAUGUUAACAGUAUGGAAGAUCACUCUUUUAUAUAUUUGAAAGGAUUUUAGGACCUGUUUUGUUGUAUAGGGCAACACAGGGUGGUUAGGUAUUCGGAAGAGUAGUGACCAGCAUUUUUUCAAGAAAGUAGCAUGGCAAAGUAAACAUAAUAUACUGUGCAUGGCAAGUGUUAGAACCACAUAGUAUGGGUGAGGUUAACUCUAUUUGUACCAUAGGUAGUGUUGUUUUGUAAUAUUUAAACAGAGAUGACCAUGAAAACACACACACAUUAACUGGACAGACUGACAGAAGACUAUUUACUAGUUUUAUUAUAAAUGUAUUGCUGUAAUAAGCUGUUAAACCUGUAAUUUAAGUGUGUGAUUUGAAUAAUAUGCUCUUGAAAUUCUUGUUUUCCCCCCAACAUGCAUUUGUAUGUCCAAACCCUGCCAUUGAUGUCAAAUGCUUCACCUCAUACAUAUUGUGCAUUUGUCAGACUUCCUUCAUCUGCAAAGACCUGGACACUCUGAAGGUCCUGCUGACAUCCCGAUGCCGGACCCGGCCAAAGAGGAGGCCAAACGCAAGAAGAAGGAGGAGGCGGUGGGUGAUGGCUGCUGUACUCUUAUCUCGCUCUCAAUAGGAAGCAGACGUAGAAGGUUAAAUGUAUUGUUUGCGUUUAUAACAUGUGUACAGUACCGGCUUUUCUUUAUUUUCGACACUGUUUCCAUUGUGUGAUUCUCAUUGAAGAUAUUUAACUAUUAAUGAACAAGUGGGAUUAUGUAGGAAAUAAAAAAAGGGAGCAAUAACUCAAAAUAAGUUUUAAUUAUUCAAAAUUGCCACCUUUUCUCAAUGAGCUUCAUAAGGUCGUCACCGGAAAUGGUUUUAAAUCAUGAAGCCAAUUGAGAAAAUGUCAAAAGUGCAAAGCAGUAAUCAAAGCAAAAGGCGGCUAUUUUGAAGAAUCUAUUUCACCUUUUUUUUGUUUAACCUCUAAACCCCUGCCUUAACCGAGUGCAUUUUCUGCUGUUUUGUUUUACCCAAAUCCAGAAGUCACAUUUGAAAGCUAAUACCUACAAACUUGUCGCAUUGUUGCUGCAUUUUUUUAAAGUGUUUUGUCGUGUUUUCUUCUCUUUUUUGUCACUUUUUCAUUGCUUUUUUGGUCACUGUUUUGUUAUUUUUCACUUCAUUAUGUGUUGUUGUUGCUUUUCUGGCACGUUUUGCCGUCAUUUUUAAAUCACUUUUAUUGUUGCAUUUUUAUUGCAUUAUUCUUGCUUUUGCGGCACGACUUUCUUCACUAUUGUUGACACUUUUCUUCCCCCAAGAAGCUUCUAGAUUUAGGUAAUUCCAAACUGGAGAACAUGUGCUCGAUUCAGGUUUGGGGUUAAAAGAUUAAAACAUAAUUCCAUUCGUGUUCAUUCAUAAAUUAAUGCCUUCAGUGAGAAUCUAUCAUGUAAACAGUCUUGAAAAGCGUUUAUAAACUUUUGAUGGGUACUUUACAUAAAUCGCUAUAAUGGUCAGAUAAAAGUGCCAUCCCCAAUCCUGAAAAAUAAUAGUUAUAUUCAAACCAGUGUUUUUGCUCUACUCUAAAUUGUACUGUGAAUCAUUGCAUCAUUAGGAGGCGUGACUGGCCCGGUAGCUCAGUUUAUAGAGAAGCUAGUCUAACAAACAAUCUCUGAAUGCUGCCAAUGUGCCCUUUGGCAAGACCCUCUAUCUCUUUGUUAAUGUGUUUAAGUUUGACUGUGAACUGAAUGAACAGUCAAACACUUUGAGAAGCCUGUGGAGCUUAGAACGUAUGCUUUUGUAAGAACAAGAAAAUCCAUCACUUUAAAAUGCCACUUAUGUAACGUGAUUUGUGGCGACAUGCGUCUGAGUUCACUUUGUUCCAUUGGAGAUAAUUGACUUAAUUGGGUAAUAUUCAUGAAGUGGUAAUUAGAUCGAUGAAGUGCGGAGUGGCUGAAAAGGGAAAAUAAACACUUGCGCCUGAUUAUAUUAUGAAAGUGAAAGGUGUCAUUAUAAGAAGUGGCUGUCGUUUUUUGCAUUGAGCCGCUCUCUCUCUCUCUCUCUCUCUCUCCGUUUCUGCCUGUGUUCCUGCGCCAAGGGUUUAAUUUAAUUGCGUCUCACAGAAAAAAAGAUCGUGAGCGGAGAAAAAUCUGACGUUGCCGUGGAAACCGA
rnacentral:lncRNA from 1 species